GGGGUUGUGGCUCAGUGGUAGAGCACUUAGCAUGUGUGAGGCUCUAGGUUCAAUACCUAGCACCA
rnacentral:tRNA from 1 species